rnacentral:rRNA from 1 species
GAUGAACGCUGGCGGCGUGCUUAACACAUGCAAGUCGAGGGGUCUGCUUCGGCAGACGACCGGCGCACGGGUGAGUAACGCGUAUCCAACCUGCCCUUCAUAUUGGGAUAGCCUCUCGAAAGGGAGAUUAAUACCGAAUAACAUGAAGGAGUUGCCUGAUUUUUUCAUGAAAGCUCCGGCGAUGAAGGAUGGGGAUGCGUUCCAUUAGGUAGUAGGCGGGGUAACGGCCCACCUAGCCAACGAUGGAUAGGGGUUCUGAGAGGAAGGUCCCCCACACUGGAACUGAGACACGGUCCAG